rnacentral:lncRNA from 1 species
GGUGAAUCUCAGCCGCACUGUGCUGAGGGACAGCUGCUGACUGAGAGCUCGUAUAUCGCCUGAGUGCAUUCAUACAGCAUUCUGGAAAAGGCCAGGCUGGUGGGAUGGGAGGCAAUAGUGGCUACGAGGAGCUGAGUGCUGUGGGGAUGCAGAGGAUGGAGGGAACCUCCUGAAAGGAUUCCGCAGACUGUGAUGUAAGUUCCGAGACAUGCAUCUCCGGAGCUCACUGAACUCUACUCUUUUCCUGGAUGUAAAUUAUUCCUCAAUCAAUCCGCUUUCUGAAUACAACACUCUCUAACCCUCCUCAGGACCCUGUCCAGAUCCCAGCAGCAAGGGCUCAACUGGGAAAAUCUGAGAGCCCACGAGUCCUGGACAGGACCUGAGCCCCCGAGGGGCUGUGGACCAUCGGAGAAGAGACUGUCCUAAGACCCUCCGGGCACCAGCUCGUCCUGCCCCCUCUUCCCCAACUCGAAUGCUCCAGGGCUCAGCCAGGGCCAGGCACCCUCAAGAAUCCUGGAUUUGCAGCAUGGUCGGUCUGGAGAAGAACCCACCCUCAGCUGGUCCCAGGCUGUCAUAGAGCACAGCCUCGAGCUUCUGCCACCCACCGCCAUGUCGAAGACAUCCCUGCUUGGACAGGCCCACAGCAGCCCGCUGGACUUGGACAGCCGGCCCAGGACCCCUGUGGCAAGUGGUUUCUUGCUGGUGAAGCCAGCUCAUUGUCCUGAGUAGAUCCUCUCUUUCAGUGCCACCUGCUCUUCAGGACCCAAGAAGGUUGAUCUUGUGGCUCUGCAGGGUACCCUCAUGUCCCCUAGAACCCAGAUAGAACAGCCACCCCUAACAUGGGCUGCUGGAUUCCAGGAGCAAUUUCCCAUCUUAGGCUGAAGGCUCUUUUUUCUUUCUUCCAUUUUAGACUCUCUGUCUUUCUCUCUCUCUCUCUCUCUCUCUCUCUCUCUCCCCCUUUCCCCCUCCUCCAGGAAACAUAAGGACAUAAAGUCACCUUGUAAUUCCAUGUCCUACUUUUUCUGU